ACCAGACUCCUACGGGAAGCAGCAGUCGGGAAUAUUGCGCAAUGGAGGAAACUCUGACGCAGUGACGCCGCGUAUAGGAAGAAGGUUUUCGGAUUGUAAACUAUUGUCGUUAGGGAAGAGAAAGGACAGUACCUAAGGAGGAAGCUCCGGCUAACUACGUGCCAGCAGCCGCGGUAAUACGUAGGGAGCGAGCGUUAUCCGGAAUUAUUGGGUGUAAAGGGUGCGUAGACGGGAAAGCAAGUUAGUUGUGAAAUCCCUCGGCUUAACUGAGGAACUGCAACUAAAACUACUUUUCUUGAGUGCAGGAGAGGUAAGUGGAAUUCCUAGUGUAGCGGUGAAAUGCGUAGAUAUUAGGAGGAACACCAGUGGCGAAGGCGACGUACUGGACUGUAACUGACGUUGAGGCACGAAAGUGUGGGGAGCAAACAGGAUUAGAUACCCCUGUACUA
rnacentral:rRNA from 1 species